GUAUUAGGUUGAUGCAAAAGUAAUUGCAGUUUUUUGCUGUUACUUUUAAUGGCAAAAACCGCAAUUACUUUUGCACCAACCUAAUAGAUU
ensembl:miRNA